GAGAGCUUGAAGAUUUUCCAAAAUCUUCAAACCCUCGUCCAGACUUCUGUCCUCCGCUAUCAGCUUUGUCAUUCUACUGGUCGCCAGUGACUCCAUAAACGCCCGAGUCUUCACCGUGGGAAAGGACAAAUGGGCUGUCUGUAGCUUGUGGUUAUGAGCUCGCCGGCGUGCUUGCUGUUGCUGUUGUCUCAUCCGCCCUUGAUCAACAAAAACAUGUCGUCUUCCUCCUCCUCCUCUAUUCCAGAUCGAUUUUUUUCCUUUUCUUCAUCAUUGGCAUGGCUGUGCAGCGAUCUUCCUCUCUUUCACUAUGCAGACGAACAUUCUCUUCCCCCUCUUAGUUUGCGUGUUGUUAGUUUAUCCAAGGUGAGAAUCUUUGAUCUCUUCUCCUUAGAAAAUUCUGUGCGUGUGAGAUGGUGAAGGGAUGGAGUUGAUGUUGCAAUUUUAUUUUUCUUAAGCCCUGCUGCUGCCCGUGACCGUAUAUGGGUAUAUAGGAAGAGGAAACUUGAUUUUAAAUUGAAAUUAGUGGUUUUAUAAGGAAGGAGUUGAUAGUAUGGAAUUGAGUUUGUAAUUAAAAAUGAUUGAAUUAGUGAUGUUGUAAGGUUUAAGGAAGCUGAAAUUUUGAAAGAAAAUGUUAAUAUUAGCUUGAUAACUUAUGCUCAUAUAGUGUUUGAUAAAAUUUCCAGGAAGAGAGUUGGCUUGGAUUUGCAUUUUUGAAAUUUAAUUAGUCUUUGUGAGAAGUAUGCUAGUAUGAAAAAUUUUGGAUCUGCAAAUUGACUUAUAGAUUGUAAAAGAAUUUAAAUAUGAAUUUGUAUGAAGCCAUUUAAAUUCUUGAGAAUUGUAAGGUUAUUAGUAAAUUGUUGGAUGUUUAAAUUGAAUUGGUAGAAGUAAGGCACCCAAGGAAUUUGGUGCAAAGCUUGAGAGAAAAUUGUAUCUCAAGGAAAUAGAUUGGCAUAGUUAAAAUAAGUUAGAGGAGACUAGUGAUAUGGAUAACAAUACUUUGAUCAACUCUAAGGCAUGAAUUUUUGUUUUGGAAAUUUAAAUGAUGGUGGUUGGUUGAGAUUAUGUAAUAGAUUAAAAAAAAGUUAUUGAAAGGAUAUUUAUUUAUAUCCUUAUAGAGUGUGUGGAAGAACAGGACCUUAAAAAGAAUUAAAGGAAGAAUAUCUUUGAGAAUUUAGAACUCUGACGAGUAAGUGAAUAGCAUUCCAUUUAAUUUAUUUUUAUUUUUAAUAGCUUUUUUCCUGAAAUAUUUUAUUCUUAUGAAUUAUAUUAAUUUUGAAAAUUAUGAAGUAUCAAUGAAGGACAAAUAAGUUAUGGUAUGUGCAUUUAUUGAUUCUUGAAAAUAUAUUUCCAAAAUUGAUGGAAGCAUUCUUGUAUGGUUGUUAAACUUUGAAAUUUAUUGAAUACUUAAUUAAUGCAAGUUUAUGAUUUUGACAAAUGUUGAGAUUUGAAACAAUUUAUGCGAGUUUGGCAGUAAGAAUGAUAAUUUAUUUCAAUCAUAAUUGUUUUUCUCGCAUGUUUGAAGCAUGAUUUUAAGAGAACUCGAAACAGAACACUGCUACUAACGGUAGUUCCGUUAGCCCAUAGCGCGCUGUGGUUAAACACUAGCUAGUUUGUUUCGUGAGUUUUAUUCUCAAGUUUGGUAUUCAUGAGCUUUGUACUUGCGUUUGAUUCCAUGGCCUGAGCCGCGUUUGAUUAUUUAUCCUCGUGGACUGUGUCUCCAUGUUUGUUUCGUAGCUUCGGCUGCAUUUGGUUACUUACCCUCGUGGACUGGUGUGUCCACGUUUGUUUUCGUGGCAUAAGCCGCGUUUGGUUAUUUAUCCUCGUGGACUGUGUCUCCACGUUUGUAACCUGU